rnacentral:lncRNA from 1 species
GAACAGGAUUGAUGUAAGUAGGCAAAGCUAAUUCAACGUCUGAAUUCUCGUAAUGGCUCACAUCUUCAUUGAGAUCAUCUCUCAGACUUUGCAACUGGAAUAAAACGCCAAGCGUUGCAGCACCGCCUGGGCAAAAUAUAUAGGAAGGAACUCCAAAUUCAUUGGCUACAUCAAUCAAAGAGGUGCAAAACAUGUCUAUGACGAUCCCACCAAGAUGCGACGAAACACAAUUGGAUAUUUCAGCAAGAACCUCCCUCACACAACUUUUAUGGUUGUCGAUAAAUCGAAACAGAAUCGAAAGAAAAGAUGACAAUUGAGAAGAAGGCUCUUCUUUCAUGAGCUCAAGGUACCUUAUGUGCAAAUUCGGAGUUUCUACCAACGAAUUUGUGUAGCUACUGACUUUUGGAUCAAAGGGCAGCUUCAUAAUCAGGACGGUGAUCGAUAAUCGUUCAUCACAUUCAACGAGAAGCUUUGCUAGUUCAACACAUGAUACUAAGUGGCCAAUCCCUGGUACAGUAACGAAAACCAGCUCUGCUUUUUUCAUUUCUGUCGUUUUCUCUGCUAACUUUAGCCAGUUGAUUGAAGAUGGAAAUCCAACCUUUAUCUCUCUGGUUUCUACCUAGCUUGCAGCGCACGCCACGUGUAUCUUAUCUGUUUACAUUAAAAGCAGAUGUGCCUUUCACACUAGUGAAUCGAGUAGAAAUCAAAACUACCAUGUUUCCAGGAUUUUUACUUGAUAAAUGUAAAUGUACUAUCAAUAAAUUGCUUUUUACUGUUGAAUUGUGAAAUUUUAUUAUCAUUAAUCAAGCUAAUCAUUAAACUCAAUAUAAAGUAGUUUCUUUCUCGUUUUGACAUUUAAUUAUCUUUAUUUAAAGUUAAAUGCACUUAAUUCUCCUCAAUUUUAUCAACUUUAUGCAUUUCAACUCAUUAAAUAGGUAUUUUGUCCCCCUACUUCAUGUUUUAGAACAAGAGUAGUUGGAUCAUUUACCCAAUCUAAUUACAAUUGUGCCAAACGUACUUGUUAUCAAAUAAGUCAAUUGUUACUUCUCUGAUGCAAGCCACUUCAUUCCAAACUUUUUGUGUUUUCCUUGGGGUGAAUUCUUAGUUUAUGAUGAAAAAAAAAAGUCAUUUUACAAUUGGGGCGGUUUUUGCAGGUUUUUCUACAAAUGGGGUGUUCGCAUUGCGGGAAUGCGAGGUCACUAUAGUGAGCUCGCAUUCCGUGAAAUUUCUUUUUCUUUUCCUUUUCAACUACCAAAUAAAUAACAUGCACUUCAUAAAAAUAACUUAUAUAAUUUUUUAAAAUAACAUUGCGUUAUGAAAUUUCUAAAAUUACAGUUGAAAUUGUAACAGAUAUUAAUGACUAUUAACUAUUACAUUCUUAUAACUAAUAUUCAUCGGUGUCAACAAAUAAAUACGAUUCAUUAAUAAUAAAGGAAAAUUAGAAUUUGAUAAAGAAAAUUAGAAUUUGAUAUAAAAAAUUUAUUUCAUAAAAAAGGAAAAAAAGUUAGUAUUUUUUUCAUAAAAUAUAGUCAACACGUUACAUGUUAACAAUUUCAUUCUAUUUUUACAUUGAUAUAUGAAAUAGAUAGAAAGAACUAUGCAUGUGUACUUUUUCCACCGUUUAGAUGUAUUAUAAUAACCGUACAAUUACCAAUUUUUUUUAAUAUAAAAGAAAUAUGAUUUUUUUUAGAGCACAUAUUUGAUGACUUUAGGCACGUUAAAGUUUUAAAAUAAAAAAAAUUUAUUCCUCUGCUAAUUACAGAUUUUUAAAUAACAUUUCUCUAACAUUUCUCCGAAAUAUAAGAUUUUAGUAGAGCUUUUAAAAUAAGAUUUUACUACCGAUAGCAUUUUAGUAAAGGCAAAUUCUACAAAACAAACAACAUUUACAGUUAAUUUUACAUUUUUUUGGGAGCUCGUAAAUUUCAUUUUAAAUUUUUUUUCUAGCAAGUUUGAAUUUAAUUUUCUGAAAGUCAUACUUAUAAAUGCGAAAUCUAACAAAAAAAUUAAAUACCAUUUUUGGAGGUCAAAUUUAUCAAAUGCGAGCUAUUUGAAGAAUUUAAAAAAAAAACAUUUAGGAGCUUGCAUUUAGCUCUUACUAUUUUCUGGAAAAAAUUCUCUAGCUCCCAAAAAAAAAGCAAAAAAAUUUAAAUAAUACUUAAGCUCGCAUUCGCGGAAUGUGAGUUCAAUAGAGUUGUGCUCAAUAAGUAGAGCUCGCAUUCCGCGAAUGCGAGCUCAAUAGAGCUGAGCUCGCAUUCCGCUAAUGUGAGCUCUACUAACCUCGCACUCGCGGAAAGCGAGGACCCCCCUACGGAAUAUCCCACCAAAAUCACCCUUGUUUUAGAAUUUUUUAAAAUUCAUCACAAAAUUGGAAAUUUCAACCCGUGGGGACAUGGACUCUUCCUUUGCUCAAUUUAUUUUUCAUUCUUCUACAAUUGUUAGAUUAAUUUCGGUUUGCUGGAAGAGACCCCCGGUGAAUUUUUGCAAAUUAAAUACAGAUGCGAGUGUAGUAAAUGGUAGGGUGUCAGGUGGUGGUUUGGUGUGUGAUCACAGAGGUAACUUGGUUUUUGCUUUCUAUAAAGAGUUGGGGGAAGCUGAGGUGUUGGAGGCAGAGAUUCAUGCAUUAUUAUUUGGUCUUCAAUUGUGUGGUGAAAGAAAUGACCAGAAUUUACAAGUUAAGGUUGAUUCUUCUUUGUUGUUUGUUUGAUUGUUUCGGGGCAAUGUCUAAAUGGCCAUUGUGCAAUUUUCUUCGUCAAAUUAGAGAGCUUUGGCAGUCACUUUCUGCGUCAGUUAGUCAUGUUAAAUUCCAUGGCGGCUAGGCUUGCCACGCUUCAUCUUCAUUCUGAUUCGCUUUUUACUUCCAUUCAACAACUUCCUUCAGUGGUUAAGGCUCGCUUGAUUUUAGAUGGUAGGGAAUUUUUGCAUGUGUAGAAAUAAAUUGUAACUUGUACGGGAGGAAUACUCCUAAUUUUUGUUUUCAUAAAUGUUCCUAGGUCUUUUCAGGCCCUUCUUAAACACUUUAUAUUUUUAUUUUAUGAUUAAUAAAAAUUAAAGGUUGGCAUCGCUCCCCUGUGUAUGGAAUUUGGCAAUAAAAAAAAAUCAAAUAAGUUAAUUGUCGCUUCUCUAAUGCCUGUCACUUCAUUUCUAACUACUUUGUUUUCUUCAUCUAUAUUUUCCUAAUUUGGAUCACACUUCUUCCCUAUUAUAUGGUCGUAAAUCAAUUUAAUUCCAAUGAAGUUUUGAACCUGUUGCCUACAAAGUUGCAUAUGAGAAUUUGCCGUAUUUUAGUCAAUUUUGAGGACUUUCCGUGUUCAUUGAGUUCAAAAUUCACAAAAUGCAAAAAAAAAAAAAAAGACGCAAGGAAAAAGAAAACUAAUCAGGUAAGAGCCUGCAAUGAUACAGUACACUCGAAGAAAAACCGUGCCACCUUCUCAAGCAUUAUAAGAGUAAACUAUGCUUUAAUUGAAUGCACCAAUUAUUGCAACUAGAAUGGCACGCACCACAACUACGUGUGACUAAAUGCUGUGAAAGACAUACUCUGCUCUCAAUGCCACAAUCAAGUUGUCAUUUUUGGUUUAGCACUAUAAUACUCCCUAAACUUUUACCAACUCCGAAGUUUAAUUAAUAAGUUUAGCUAUUCACUGUUACUAUUAACUGAAUUGUAAGUCUACAUUGUAAGUCCAUUUCACAAUCACGGAUUGUAUUUGACCUACAAAGUACCAUGGAGAAUAUUAGAAUAGCAAAUCAGAGUGCGAAAGGGAAAACAGCAGAAAGCCUAACAAGCAAAAACAGAAAAAAGCAUCGACUUUCAAAGUAAAAUUAGUUAUAGCAGAGUUAAUGGAUAUAGUAAUGGUUGAUCUUCAGCUAUGUAUUUAAGAAAACGAAGCAAUAAUGCAAUACAUUAUAACAAUUCAGAUCUGACAAACAAUUAUGGAAUACUAUCUAUUACAUCUUCAAGAAAGCACUUCAUGGAAGAAUAGGAUGAUCCUCCUUCAUUAGGAGCCAACCUGCUCUUCUCCUUCAUUUCCUUCACCUUCUCUCUGAUUUCAUUCUCAGGAUCCAUCAGAUGUUUAAUCCCUCUUUCAAUCACAUUUGCAGUCAAAGUCUCACUACUCACACCCAGUAGCAGAUCUUUUCUGAAAUCUAUUUUGAUCUCCACUGCCGUUGCCAAGUCCUUCACCAUUAAGAACGCAUUCGUCUGCUGCUCUGCAUAAAGCGGCCAAGUUGCCACUGGCACACCGCACCAAACGCUUUCCAAUAUUGAGUUCCAGCCACAGUGAGAAACAAAGCCCCCCGCAGCAGGAUGGGAUAGAACUGCCGCCUGUGGUGCCCAUCCAAUAACUUUUCCAACGGCUGCAGUUCUCUGCAAGAACCCUUCUGGCAAGACUUCAUCCAGGUUCUCAUACUCACUUGGAAACUCAAAUUUUUCUUUAGGUGAAGGCCUUCUCAAUGACCAGAGGAAUCGAUAUCCACUGCGCUCGAGUGCAUGGGCAAUUUCCUCCACUUGGUCACCAUCAAAACUACCUCCACUACCAAAGCAAAGGAACACAACAGAACAUUCUGGCUGAAGAUCUAGCCAUUUCAUAAUCAUCUCAGUUUCUUGAUUUUGACUAUUGCUUCCCUUCAGAUUCAAUACAGGCCCUACUGUAUAUACUGGUGGGAUGGUUUUAUCAUUACUCAAGGCCUGAAUCGAAUGGGAUUCUAGCUCAAGGAAAGUGUUAACUAUGAUUCCCUUGGUCUCCUUGAAUCUUCUGACCUGAUACAAGAGCAUGUCGCCACCUCCAUCCUUGUCAAAAAAUGCAGGUGACAAAAGUUUAGCUGGAACAGGAUUGAUGUAAGUAGGCAAAGCUAAUUCAUCGUCUGAAUUCUCGUAAUGGCUCACAUCUUCAUUGAGAUCAUCUCUCAGACUUUGCAACUGGAAUAAAACGCCAAGCGUUCCAGCGCCGCCUGGGCAAAAUAUAUAGGAAGGAACCCCAAAUUCAUUGGCUACAUCAAUCAAAGAGGUGCAAAACAUGUCUAUGACGAUCCCACCAAGAUGCGACGAAACAGAAUUGGAUAUUUCAGCAAG